rnacentral:rRNA from 1 species
UUGAAAGGGAAACGAUUGAAGUCAGUCGUGCUGGCGCGAAAUCAACCCUCUCGUCUUGAGAUCACAUGGCGUGGCGAGCCUCAAAACCGUCACGAAGCGUGAACUCUUGGUGAAAUGGAGCACUUUCGUGUCCGCUGGUUAACAUCAAUUUCGAACGUCAUAAAAAGGCUGGAGGGAUGUGGCUCCUUCGGGAGUGUUAUAACCUUUAGCGGAAUGUGGUGUUCGGGAUUGAGGAUUGCAACGAAUACCUUUAGGGCUGUUCCACCUGGCUUCUCUUUGGUAUCCUGGUGACGACAGCUUGCUGACGUUGUUAGGAUUCGCCUUUGAACAGGCUAGAGUGUGAGCAAAUUCGUUAAGGAUGUUGACGUA